rnacentral:rRNA from 1 species
UAAACGAUGCCAACCAGCAAUCCGCCUGAGUUCCUUAAAUGACUCGGCGGGCGGCUUCCGGGAAACCAAAGUUUUUCGGUUCCGGGGGAAGUAUGGUUGCAAAGCUGAAACUUAAAGGAAUUGACGGAAGGGCACCACCAGGAGUGGAGCCUGCGGCUUAAUUUGACUCAACACGGGAAAACUUACCCGGCCCGGACACUGGAAGGAUUGACAGAUUGAGAGCUCUUUCUUGAUUCAGUGGGUGGUGGUGCAUGGCCGUUCUUAGUUGGUGGAGCGAUUUGUCUGGUUAAUUCCGAUAACGAACGAGACUCUAGCCUACUAAAUAGACCAGAGGCUUCUUAAAACACGUCUCUGGCUGCUUCUUAGAGGGACAGGCGGCGGUUCAGCCGCACGAAACAGAGCAAUAACAGGUCUGUGAUGCCCUUAGAUGUCCGGGGCCGCACGCGCGCUACACUGAAGUGAUCAGCGUGCUUUUUGUACCCUGCUCUGCCAAGAGUGGGUAACCCAAUGAACCUUCUUCGUGAUUGGGAUAGGGGAUUGUAAUUAUUCCCCUUGAACGAGGAAUUCCCAGUAAGCGCGAGUCAUAAGCUCGCGUUGAUUACGUCCCUGCCCUUUGUACACACCGCCCGUCGCUACUACCGAUUGAAUGAUUUAG